GGGAGAAACUCUCUGUGCACCGCGCAUGUUGCGCGAAUGCAUGUAUUGCAUGUAGUGAUUGGCUCACAUAGAAAAAAAAAUAUAUUUUUUUUUGCCGCUCUGCUGCCCAGCUUUGCAUGUGAGCCAAUCACCGCAUGCAAUGCGCAAAAAAUUCCUAAUAGAGUGGGAUCAAUAGGAGGUUCAUGAUUGUCCAGCACACUGUAUUGCCUAUUGAACCAUCAAAGAGGUGACACAUAUUAGA
rnacentral:lncRNA from 1 species